UCAGGUACCUGAAGUAGCGCGCGGA
rnacentral:ncRNA from 2 species